UAAUCUUCCAAGAUAUAUUUUUGUUUUAUUGCAAUGGGGAAUUUAAAAGGAUUUGUUUAGAACAUGACAAAAUUACAAAUGAAAAUUUUACAAACUAAGAAAUCUAAUAAUAUUUUUUUUCUGUUCAAUAAAUUGUAAAAAAAGACGAUUAACAAAUAGAUAAAACGAUGAAAACUCAGUAGACGGAUUUUUAUAGUCAAUGAGUGUAGUUUUCACCAAAAUAUUGUGGUUUAUUUAAUAAAAAACCUACUUACAAAAUGACAUUGUCUGUUUUUGCCAAAUAAAAUAAAAUAGCUAAAACUAAUUUUGUACGCACAUAUUCCACAAUUAAUGCUUUUGUAAAUUUUAAAAGCGACAUAUGAUAAUUUUACUCGUACGCUCAAUUAUUAUCGUAUAAAUUUAUGUUUUGUAAAAGAAAAAUAAAAAAGAAACUUUUUACCAAAUAUAAAAAAAAACUGAAAUGAGCAAAAUUCCAACGUUGAAAGGCUUUAGGUCCAUGACUCGAAAGGCAUGAUGUCAUACGCCCAAAACGGAACACGUUUCGUCAGUAGUGGCAAUACUCGUAAUCUUGCAGACCGGACGAGGGCAUUCUCGGAGUUUCAAAGCUGGGUUUUUAAUAACCAAAAGAAAACAACACCACCCUUUUGUCGCCACAUGCCAUGGCGUUGGUCGCACGCUGUAUAGUGUUUAUUUGUUUUUUGUCACCUUCCUUUCUAACUAAUUUUAUAUUUUAUUACUAACCAUUUGCAUUCACAUUUUUAUAAUAAUUUAAAAGAACUAAAAACCAAAACAACCUCUCUCUGUCUUUCGGCCUAUCAUAAGUCAUCAAAUUUAAAACAAGAUCCUAAUGUUUUUUUUGUUAAUAAGAUCCAAAACUAUAUGAAUUUUUCUGUAUCUACAUUACCAUACUUUAUAUAUAUAAUUU
rnacentral:lncRNA from 1 species